rnacentral:rRNA from 1 species
CCCUUAGAUGUUCUGGGCCGCACGCGCGCUACACUGACGAAUGCAACGAGCUUAUAACCUUGGCCGAAAGGUCUGGGUAAUCUCCAAAUUUCGUCGUGAUGGGGAUAGAUUAUUGCAAUUAUUAAUCUUCAACGAGGAAUGCCUAGUAAGCGCAAGUCAUCAGCUUGCGUUGAUUACGUCCCUGCCCUUUGUACACACCGCCCGUCGCUCCUACCGAUUGAAUGGUCCGGUGAAGCGCUCGGACCGCGGCCUCUUGACGGGUCUCCGUCGAUUGGCUGUGGGAAGUUCGUUAAACCUUAUCAUUUAGAGGAAGGAGAANUCGUAACA